AAUGAACGCUGGCGGCGCGCCUAAUACAUGCAAGUCGAGCGAGAAGACGUAGCAAUACGUUUGUAAAGCGGCGAACGGGUGAGGAAUACAUGGGUAACCUACCCUCGAGUGGGGAAUAACUAGCCGAAAGGUUAGCUAAUACCGCGUACGCUCCUUGGACUUCGGUUCAGGGAGGAAAGCGAUACCGUGGGUAUCGCGCUCUUGGUUGGGCUCAUGUCCUAUCAGCUUGUUGGUGAGGUAACGGCUCACCAAGGCUUCGACGGGUAGCUGGUCUGAGAGGACGAUCAGCCACACUGGCACUGCGACACGGGCCAGACUCCUACGGGA
rnacentral:rRNA from 1 species